UACGUAGGGUGCGAGCGUUGUCCGGAAUUAUUGGGCGUAAAGAGCUUGUAGGCGGUUUGUCGCGUCUGCCGUGAAAAUCCGGGGCUCAACCCCGGACUUGCGGUGGGUACGGGCAGACUAGAGUGUGGUAGGGGAGACUGGAAUUCCUGGUGUAGCGGUGAAAUGCGCAGAUAUCAGGAGGAACACCGGUGGCGAAGGCGGGUCUCUGGGCAGUAACUGACGCUGAGGAGCGAGAGCGUGGGGAGCGAACAGG
rnacentral:rRNA from 1 species